rnacentral:rRNA from 1 species
CUGGCUGGAAGCAUGACUACACAUGCAGUCGUACCAGAUAGACAGCGCACAGCAGCUUGCUGCUUUGCUGAAGAGUGGCGGACGGGUGAGUAAAAUGUCUGAGAAACCCCCCGAGGGAGGGGGAUAACUAUCGGGAAACGGUAGCUAAUACCCCAAAACCCCGCACACACCAAAGAGGGGGACCUUCGGGCCUUCUUCCCAUCGGAUGUCCCCCAGAGGGGAUUAGCUUAGUAGGUGGGGAAACGGCUCACCUAGGGCGACGAUCCCCAAGCUGGUCUGAGAGGAUGACCAGCCACACGGGAACUGAGACACGGUCCAGACUCCUACGGGAGGCAGCAGUGGGGAAUAUUGCACAAUGGGCGCAAGCCUGAUGCAGCCAUGCCGCGUGUAUGAAGAAGGCCUUCGGGUUGUAAAGUACUUUCAGCGGGGAGGAAGGGAGUAAAGUUAAUACCUUUGCUCAUUGACGUUACCCGCAGAAGAAGCACCGGCUAACUCCGUGCCAGCAGCCGCGGUAAUACGGAGGGUGCAAGCGUUAAUCGGAAUUACUGGGCGUAAAGCGCACGCAGGCGGUUUGUUAAGUCAGAUGUGAAAUCCCCGGGCUCAACCUGGGAACUGCAUCUGAUACUGGCAAGCUUGAGUCUCGUAGAGGGGGGUAGAAUUCCAGGUGUAGCGGUGAAAUGCGUAGAGAUCUGGAGGAAUACCGGUGGCGAAGGCGGCCCCCUGGACGAAGACUGACGCUCAGGUGCGAAAGCGUGGGGAGCAAACAGGAUUAGAUACCCUGGUAGUCCACGCCGUAAACGAUGUCGACUUGGAGGUUGUGCCCUUGAGGCGUGGCUUCCGGAGCUAACGCGUUAAGUCGACCGCCUGGGGAGUACGGCCGCAAGGUUAAAACUCAAAUGAAUUGACGGGGGCCCGCACAAGCGGUGGAGCAUGUGGUUUAAUUCGAUGCAACGCGAAGAACCUUACCUGGUCUUGACAUCCACGGAAGUUUUCAGAGAUGAGAAUGUGCCUUCGGGAACCGUGAGACAGGUGCUGCAUGGCUGUCGUCAGCUCGUGUUGUGAAAUGUUGGGUUAAGUCCCGCAACGAGCGCAACCCUUAUCCUUUGUUGCCAGCGGUCCGGCCGGGAACUCAAAGGAGACUGCCAGUGAUAAACUGGAGAAAGGGUGGGGAAGAACGUCAAGUCAUCAGGGCCCUUACAACCAGGGCUACACACGUGCUACAAUGGCGCCAAACAAAGAAAAACGACCUCGCGCAGAGAAAACGGACCUCAAAAAGGGCGCCCAACCCCGGAUUGGAGUCUGCAACUCGACUCCAUGAAGUCGGAAUCGCUAGUAAUCGUGGAUCAGAAUGCCACGGUGAAUACGUUCCCGGGCCUUGUACACACCGCCCGUCACACCAUGGGAGUGGGUUGCAAAAGAAGUAGGAUAGGUUAGACUCUCCGCUCGGGAUCAAACAGUAGCUGCGAUGCUGCUGGG